GACGAACGCUGGCGGCGUGCCUAAUACAUGCAAGUAGAACGCUGAAGAGAGGAGCUUGCUCUUCUUGGAUGAGUUGCGAACGGGUGAGUAACGCGUAGGUAACCUGCCUUGUAGCGGGGGAUAACUAUUGGAAACGAUAGCUAAUACCGCAUAACAAUGGAUGACACAUGUCAUUUAUUUGAAAGGGGCAAUUGCUCCACUACAAGAUGGACCUGCGUUGUAUUAGCUAGUAGGUGAGGUAACGGCUCACCUAGGCGACGAUACAUAGCCGACCUGAGAGGGUGAUCGGCCACACUGGGACUGAGACACGGCCCAGACUCCUACGGGAGGCAGCAGUAGGGAAUCUUCGGCAAUGGGGGCAACCCUGACCGAGCAACGCCGCGUGAGUGAAGAAGGUUUUCGGAUCGUAAAGCUCUGUUGUAAGUCAAGAACGAGUGUGAGUGUGGAAAGUUCACACUGUGACGGUAGCUUACCAGAAAGGGACGGCUAACUACGUGCCAGCAGCCGCGGUAAUACGUAGGUCCCGAGCGUUGUCCGGAUUUAUUGGGCGUAAAGCGAGCGCAGGCGGUUUGAUAAGUCUGAAGUUAAAGGCUGUGGCUCAACCAUAGUUCGCUUUGGAAACUGUCAAACUUGAGUGCAGAAGGGGAGAGUGGAAUUCCAUGUGUAGCGGUGAAAUGCGUAGAUAUAUGGAGGAACACCGGUGGCGAAAGCGGCUCUCUGGUCUGUAACUGACGCUGAGGCUCGAAAGCGUGGGGAGCGAACAGG
rnacentral:rRNA from 1 species